AGAGUUUGAUCCUGGCUCAGAAUGAACGCUGGCGGCGUGCUUAACACAUGCAAGUCGCACGAGAACGCUUCAGCUUGCUGGAGCUAGUAAAGUGGCGCACGGGUGAGUAACGCGUGGGUAAUCUACCUCCGAAUUGGGGAUAACACUGCGAAAGCGGUGCUAAUACCGAAUGACAUCUCCGAGACCUCGGUUUCGGGGAUCAAAGGUGGCCUCUACAUGUAAGCUACUGUUUGGAGAUGAGCCCGCGUACCAUUAGCUAGUUGGUAGGGUAAUGGCCUACCAAGGCUGCGAUGGUUAGCUGGUCUGAGAGGAUGAUCAGCCACACUGGAACUGACACACGGUCCAGACUCCUACGGGAGGCAGCAGUGAGGAAUUUUGCGCAAUGGGGGAAACCCUGACGCAGCAACGCCGCGUGAGUGAUGAAGGCUUUCGGGUCGUAAAGCUCUGUCAAGUGGGAAGAAUAUGCCCCGUGAUAAUACCAUGGGGCACUGACGGUACCACUGAAGGAAGCACCGGCUAACUCCGUGCCAGCAGCCGCGGUAAUACGGGGGGUGCAAGCGUUAUUCGGAAUCAUUGGGCGUAAAGGGCGCGUAGGCGGCCCCUUAAGUCAGAUGUGAAAGCCCUCAGCUUAACUGAGGAAGUGCAUUUGAAACUAAGGGGCUUGAGUAUGGGAGAGGGAAGCGGAAUUCCUGGUGUAGCGGUGAAAUGCGUAGAUAUCAGGAGGAACACCGGUGGCGAAGGCGGCUUCCUGGACCAAUACUGACGCUGAGGCGCGAAGGCGUGGGGAGCAAACAGGAUUAGAUACCCUGGUAGUCC
rnacentral:rRNA from 1 species